rnacentral:rRNA from 1 species
AUGGAUUUACCAUGUUCUAUCAAAGAAAGCUGGAGUUCAAAUUCUAAUUUUAGUACAGUGAAGAUCAAUGGGAAAAUGCACAAAAAGUUCAGACUCUUGUUUCCUAAAGUGUUUGUCUUGGUAUGUCUAGCCCAAACAAUCAUCAAUUUUUUAAAAAUAUUUCUCUGCUGUCAAAUAAAAGAUACAAUAAUUAUUAUGGACAUGUUCAUUACAAACUUUUGUAAUGGUGCAGUACACCUAUUUAAAAAAAUUAUAUAUUUACAAAACGUAAAUUAUAAUUCUCGGAAACCUACAAAAAAGCAUCAAUUUAUAUUGAUAGUUGUUCUAGUCCUUAUGUUAUAA